GGGCAGGGCGGCGCCACGCUGCAGGUCGAGGCGCGCGACAGUGAUGGCCGGCCGAUGUCCGGCCUGAAGUUUCACGGCCGGUUCGAACGGCCGACUGACCGGCGCUCCGAUCUGCCGGUCGCGCUCGCCGAAGUCGGGAUCGGCAUUUAUCGCGGGAGCGCGGAGACAAUCGCGCCGGGCCAAUGGGAUCUGGUGCUCGAAGGCGUCUCGGCCGGCCAGCGGCUGUUUUUGUCCAAGAACCGCGUGUUGUUGAAUUAGGAAGAUCGGAUCAUGCAGGCGACGCGAGACUUUUCACAUUAUGUCCGGCAUCUCGAAUCGGGGCUGUC
rnacentral:misc_RNA from 1 species